rnacentral:rRNA from 1 species
AGUGAACGCUGGCGGCAGGCCUAACACAUGCAAGUCGAGCGGAUGAAGGGAGCUUGCUCCUUCAUUCAGCGGCGGACGGGUGAGUAAUUCCUAAGAACCUCCCUGUUUAUGGUUUAUAAGGUCCGGACAUGGGCGCUAAUACCGCAUUCGUCCAUACGAAGUACGGGGGGAAUCUUCGGACCUUCCGCCCUCAGAUGAUCCUAUGUCGCUAUGUCGAAUUAGCUAGUUGGUGGGGUAAAGGCCCACCAAGGCGACGAUCCGUAGCUGGUCUGAGAGGAUGAUCAGUCACACUGGAACUGAGACACGGUCCAGACUCCUACGGGAGGCAGCAGUGGGGAAUAUUGGACAAUGGGCGAAAGCCUGAUCCAGCCAUGCCGCGUGUGUGAAGAAGGUCUUCGGAUUGUAAAGCACUUUAAGUUGGGAGGAAGGGCAGUAAGUUAAUACCUUGCUGUUUUGACGUUACCAACAGAAUAAGCACCGGCUAACUUCGUG